rnacentral:lncRNA from 1 species
AAGGUUGGAUUUUGUCAUGAAUCCGUGGUCGAUCUAGACGAAACGAAAUUGCAGCUUUGUUGUCUCCGAGGUGCUGAUCGCACCGGUGCAAUCCGUUCGUAAAUCUGACGGACGGAUCUGCGGAGAUCACGCGUUGAUCGAGGAGAGGUCGGUAGUGGAAAAACGGUAUUUUCGCAAGAGUCGCGAUAUUUUAUGUACCGUUUC